AAGUAGGAGAUAAAUUUUGUAUCCUGCAUUAGCUACAAUGUAUUAUUCAUGGCCAUAAAAGACAUAUUAUUUCUAAAGUUGUGAUUAUGAUACUUUUGGAUACUAUAUCUUAUAACUUGGGCAUUUUAGAUAUUUAAGUUUUAAUAAUUUUGUUAACUAUCAUAUCACCUUACAGUGCCCAGACUAGGGCAUUGUACUAUAGUGGUUGAUUAGGCCUAUUUCUCGUCAACAUAUUUCUUUUAUGAGCAUAUGAAAUUUUGAAAAGAUGAUAGCCACCCAUGUUUGCUGUAAAACAAAAAGAGUAGUUUUAUUUACCUUUUUGAACCUUUUAACUAAAGGCAAUCCCUAAGUUACAUUUCAUUAUUUGCUAAAAACUUAUGGUUUACAUAUUAUAAUGGAAAAUGAGAAAUUAUAACGGUCAAUAGAUGAAUUA
rnacentral:lncRNA from 1 species